GAAGUCCUGAUGUGUACGUUUAUUUUCACUAUCUGUUUUGACCGAACAAUAUAUGUGACGGGAGCCCGGGUUUGUAAGCGGCGUACAUGCCUCUUUUGCAGAGGACUUACAAAGCUUACUGCAGCGCACCCACCUGCCUAGAGCGGGUUCAAAACAUAUAGAUCCAUAGGACGGCACAAUUGGGACCUAC
rnacentral:other from 1 species